ensembl:lncRNA
ACCAAACAUAGCCAACUCCACCCCAGCAGAGCAACUCCUCUCUUCAAAAAACUCCAUUAAAUGGGAAACAUGAUAAGCAAUAACACGAGUCCACUGGAGUAUUUGAGAAUAUUUCUGCACGAAUGUCAAGCGUGGAGAAAUGAAAUGCAGUAAACUGACAGAUAAUUUUGGCACUAAGUUCACAGUUCAUGCACUCAGCAAGAACAGAUGCAAUCAAAUGGUGGAAAGAAAGAUCACUGUGUACACUCACUACAAGUAGGACAUCGAGGCCCUGGAGCACAUCCAGAGAAGGGCAAUGAAGCUGGUGGGGGAUGUGGAGCACAAGUCUAACGAGGAGCAACUGACAAAAUUGAGAUUGUUCAGUCUGGAGAAGACGAAGCUCUCUACAGUUACCUGAAAGGAGGUUGUGACAAGCCCUGCAACAUCUGGCUUGGUAGGAAGAGUUUGGGAAGCAACAUCCCUCCCACUUCCAGUUUCAUAGUCCUUGGACAAGGAAUUGGUUGGAAGGCCAAAGACAGAGGGUUGUGUUCAAUGGCACUGUCUAUGCAAAGGCUGGUGACAAGUGCUGUCCCCCAGGAGUUUGGACCAUUUCUCUUCAACAUCUUCAUCAAUUACAUCAGUGAUGGGCCCGAGCCUACCCUCAGCAAGUUUGACAAUGACACCAAGCUGGUUGAUGCACUAGAAAGAAGGGAUGCCAUCCACAGGGACCUAUACAAACUCAAAAGCUUUCAAGAACACUUGGAUGGAUAGAUGUUCAUCUGGAUGAAACUGCCCUGGAAGAAAAAAAGAGCGAUUUCACUCCUGAAUCAAAACUGUAACAAAGAAAAACAGUCACUUUUUAACUUCUAUCGGCCAAGGGAAAUACUCCAAGUACUUCAAAUAACUCUUCCAGACAUGCUUAAAUCAGAUAGCUUUUUUAUAUGCAUAAAAUUUUGUGCCACUUCUGCAGUAAAUCUUAACUGCAAUUUGAAGUGCUGUUUUUUCCCCACACAGCUCUGCAAAUAAUCAGCUUCUCAUAUUUUAUUUUUCAGGCUUAAGUUGCACAAUUAGAUUCAUUAAAGAAAAACACUAUACACUCCUAAGUGUUUUGCACCUGGCUUACUGAGUGAGAAUGCAUUCUUUAAGACCUUAAAAUGUUCUAGCAACAAGAGUACCAGAAUUUUAACAAGAAAUUGGUAUUUGAAUCCAUAGAGAAAUAUUCUCCCCAUUAGCACUGCGAAGAAAUAAACUGAUUUAAUAAU